rnacentral:SRP_RNA from 1 species
CGCGCCGAUGUGGUAAAAUAAUAUGUGGCGUUUGAUGCGCCGCUAUAAUAUUUUUAAGGAAAUUCCGAAAUAUAGAUGUGCGGGCCCUGUGCAACAAGACACCGUGAACCAUGUCAGGCGGGAGACCGAGCAGCAUUAAGCGGAUCGUCUCGUGUGCCGCAGCAAGCCUGCACAUCUAUGUUCCGGAAUUUUUUUCGGGGCG